rnacentral:tRNA from 1 species
GCUUGGCUAGCUCAGUCGGUAGAGCAUGAGACUUAAUCACAGGGUUGUGGGUUGGAUCCCCAAGUUGGGCA